rnacentral:rRNA from 1 species
AACGCGAAGAACCUUACCCGGGUUUGAAUUGCAGUGGUUGUAGUCGGUAGAGAUACUGGCGAGCCCGCAAGGGCACUGCUGUGAAGGUGCUGCAUGGCUGUCGUCAGCUCGUGCCGUGAGGUGUUGGGUUAAGUCCCGCAACGAGCGCAACCCUUGUCCUUAGUUGCCAGCAGGUAAAGCUGGGCACUCUGGGGAGACUGCCGUCAUAAGACGGAGGAAGGUGGGGAUGACGUCAAGUCAGCAUGGCCCUUACGUCCGGGGCUACACACGUGCUACAAUGGUCGGUACAACGGGCAGCGAGACCGCGAGGUGGAGCGAAUCCCUUUAAAGCCGGCCUCAGUUCGGAUUGUAGGCUGCAACUCGCCUACAUGAAGUUGGAAUCACUAGUAACUGCAGAUCAGCUACGCUGCGGUGAAUGCGUUCCCGGGCCUUGUACACACCGUACGUC